GAUGAACGCUGACAGAAUGCUUAACACAUGCAAGUCAACUUGAACUUCGGUUUGGGUGGCGGACGGGUGAGUAACGCGUAAAGAACUUGCUUCACAGCUAGGGACAACAUUUGGAAACGAAUGCUAAUACCUGAUAUUAUGAUUAUAUGGCAUCGUAUAAUUAUGAAAGCUAUAUGCGCUGUGAGAGAGCUUUGCGUCCCAUUAGCUAGUUGGAGAGGUAACAGCUCACCAAGGCGAUGAUGGGUAGCCGGCCUGAGAGGGUGAUCGGCCACAAGGGGACUGAGACACGGCCCUUACUCCUACGGGAGGCAGCAGUGGGGAAUAUUGGACAAUGGACCGAGAGUCUGAUCCAGCAAUUCUGUGUGCACGAUGAAGUUUUUCGGAAUGUAAAGUGCUUUCAGUUGGGAAGAAAAAAAUGACGGUACCAACAGAAGAAGUGACGGCUAAAUACGUG
rnacentral:rRNA from 1 species